rnacentral:tRNA from 4 species
GCGUCCGUAGCUCAGUUGGUUAGAGCACCACCUUGACAUGGUGGGGGUCAGUGGUUCGAGUCCACUCGGACGCACCA